rnacentral:lncRNA from 1 species
CUCACAUUAGCCUACUAAUUUGGCUCAAAAGUUUGUGGAAGUUCCCCUAGUUAUUUUCAGCAUCAAAGCAUUUGAAACAGCACAGCAUAUUGGGGCAAAUUCGGUACUUGAAGCACAAGCUUUGCUGAGCAAACCAAAGGUAAAUACAUACACAUAAAAAAGUAAAGGUCAAGACAGUUUCUUCUCAUUAGACAAAUCUGAGGAUUCGUGUUACUAGUGCAGAAACACUUUUACUUCCAGGCACGAUUAGAUGUAAUAUCUUUUAUGUUUUCCUUUAGGUCAAAGAGAAGAGAACACAAGACAAAAGGAACGGGGACAUUUUCGUUAUUUCCCACAGUCCAGGAGAAAGAAGUUGCCUGUCGCUGGGCUGGCGAGAAGCGUGAAAACCGUGGAUUUAUACUGCAAGAUGAGGUUUCCGAUUGUCAGCCAUCCUGAGACGUAGAGCGAGUGAUGCAGGUACCCGUACCACGCAAGGUGGAAGCACCGUUCACCCAGCAAGGGAAACACUGUAAAAUCGGACGCGGUACUGAGUCCAGUGCUCCGAAGAGUAUCUACAAGCACCACGAGCUGGUGGCUGAAUCGUCCACGUCCUCCACUCACCUCUACAUCAGGCCACACUUCAUACUUCAUUAUUUCCUUACUGAAAACCCCAACUUCACAAGACAUCGGGAAGAACGGAUAACAGGAACUGCAGGUUCAGGGGGAACCGAGGGAAGGAGUUUGUAUUUCAUACCCACCAGCAGACUCUCCACUUAACAAUCUAACCUUCCCCCCAAGUUCCUUCUCUGCCUGGGCUGGUCGGCCUCUCUGCUUCCCUCCCCAUGUCCCUCCAGAGGUCCCCUUAAGGAACUCAGCUGUGUAGACCACGCCUUGCAGAACCCAGUGUAAACACACUGGCCACCCUGCUCUCCACAACGGGAGCUUGUUUUUCCCUCCCCACAGAGCUGCAUGGAGCGCCUGCCAGGAACCAGCGUCCUUCCGUGUUGGAGAAGAGGUCACUCUGGCCACCACCCGGAUCUCACUCCAGAGCACACGGAGCCCCUACAGGACAGUCUUGCUCUCAUCGAUCGGCAGUCAGACGAGGUCUGCAGGUGCCAAGUCGGCAUGCACAGGGGGCAGCUGCCCCAGCUUACCCGGUGAGGAACUGGGGCUCUCCAGCCCACUGCAGCACCCUUCUCCCUGCUGGGGACUGCUCCCUGUCCCAAAACACUCCUUAACUUCUCCUCAACCCAGUGAAGCUCAGAAAGUCUACACUCAGCCAUUCUGCUGCCUUCUAGAGACUUUCUGCCUGUUACGCAAUUAUUACGGCCGAGCCAAACAAACAAAGUCUGGAUUUAUAAGUCAGGUCUGAUACAUG